CUUCAAGUGUACCCUACUGUAGAUGAGGGGGUGGAGAGAUUGGUAUGGUAGGGACAUGAGGGCUUCAUGCUGUGUUCAGCUGUAGAUACCCCAGCAACAAACCCUCGCCUGAAGGGCUCAGUGUGUGUGGGCUCUGGGGUCAUAUAGGUAUUUAAAGAGGAGAUACAGCGUUUUUGUGGCUUACGGAUUAGGUGGCGGGAAGCGGUACAGGAGGUGAGAGCAGCCAUGAUCAUAUGGAACGGCUGGGCUUGAAGGGCCGAUGGGCUUGUUGUGUGAAUGCUGCGUGAAUUAGCAUGACAUGUUUGUCAUUGGAGUACAGCGUUGGGCUCAAGCACCUUUAGAUCUAACACCGAACACAAUUCAUCACCUUUAGAUUAGCCUCUAAACUGCUCAAUAUAUAGGAAAUUUAAAAUUUGUUUAAUUUUGUUCAUUCUAAUUUCACUCUUUAAAAGUGAAAGCGAAAUUAAUUUUAUCAUCAGCAUUUGUUGUUGGGAUUGAUGGAAAGAACAUAUUCUGCGCCUCUCAAUGCAUGAAAAUGUAUUUAUUAGAAGCUUUAACAGAGGGGCAGUGCCUUAAAUCCAAUAAACAUUAAAAAUGCCAAUGCUGGAAAUGUGAAGCUGGUGAAGGGCUUUUGACAGGAAACGUUUUUCUGUCCUUGGAUGCUGCCUGACCUGAAGAGACGUUCCAGCACUUUGUUUCAAUCUUCCAGCGCCUGCAGUUAUUUUUUGUUUUCAUCGGUGGUGGGGUGGAAGAUUGAAGAAUUUAUCACCAUGUCACUUUCUGAUGAGGGAGAGCCUGCAUUAAUGGUGAAUCGGUGAAGAAUGACUUCUUGUGGAGAGAAAAACAACUGGUUUUACAAAUGUGGAAGGUCCCUAACUUGUCAAUCCAAGAGGCUUGACAAGUUAGUUACAUCUUUGUAUUCCAAUAUAUUCUAAAACAGAAAAAGCAGCAUCUAGGUAAAAGGUUGAAGACCGAAGACCUCUUCAGAUGUGCACACACCACUCCACCAAUAAUUAAAUCCAAAUGAAACGGGUCAGUGUGAUUGUUCUGCUGUGGUUUAUUUACCAAGCAGAUGGCUGCUGUGGGUGGAACCACAUGGAAACAAAUGGGAAACUGGAAGAAGGAGAGGGAGCGAUUCUGGCCAUUGCAGAGAUGGAAAGAUCUGCAGAAAAAGUGAAAGGUGUGUUAAUUGGUGUCACGCAUAUUUCACAGAGGGGCGCAGGCCAAAGCAACCAAGCAUAUGCAGGUUGGGAGUUCAAAUAUUGAGGGUGGGUUUGAGAACACACAAUAGUACAACACAGGCACAGACCAUUGCUGAUCAUGGUGUCAAUCUAAACUAAUCUCAUCUGCCUGUACAAGGUACGUAUAUCCCUCCAUUCCCUGCCUGUUCACGAUCUUUCUAAAUGCUACUAUAUUUGUUUCUAACACAUCUGCCGCCAGUGCGUUCUAGGCAUCAACCACUCUGUAAUACAAAACUUGCCUCCUGAAUGUCCUUUAAACUCUUCCCUUCUCACGUAAGGCUGUGCCUUCUAGUCUUUGACAUUUCCACCCUGGGAAAAAGACUGAUCAUCUAUCUACCUUAUAUCUAUCAAAAAACGUGAAAUGGGUUAAUGAGUAAAUUUGCUGACGAUGACAAUAUUGGAGGAGUUGCAGACUGAGGCAGGCUGCCAAAGAUACAACAGGAUAUAGCAGAAAUGGGUGGAGAAAUGGCAGAU